AUACUUACUUGGACAGGAUCAAUGGGGUUCAUGAAGGCUUAUGGGCUAAGGUGGUGACCAUCUUUGCACUUUGGAAGGGCGCCCGCCUGAGAUGGGUUCAAGUGGUCGAGCCUAAGACAUAAUUUGUGGCAAGGAUGCUUGCGUUCGUGCAAUUCCUGC
rnacentral:snRNA from 1 species